rnacentral:tRNA from 1 species
ACCUUUGUAGUGUAUGAAACACGCUUCAUUUUCGUUGAUGAGAAAAAUUAAAAAAUUUCAAAGUUA